rnacentral:tRNA from 1 species
GGGUUGUGGCUCAGUGGUAGAGUGCUCACCUCGCAUGCAUGAGGCCCUGGGUUCAAUCCUCAGCCCCCA